GUGGAGGAAGAUUUGAAGGUGUUUGAGACUGUGAACAGUACCGUGAACAGUAACUCUCGAAUUCUUGGGUUCAUGUUUGAUUUUUCUGGAUAUUUCUGCUUGUUUUUGGUUGCUAUUGCAGGACGUAUUGAGCCCUCGAGCGAGGGUGACACGGGCAGGCAGCAGGUUUAGCUGCUGGACUCACUUAUUUCAGAUUUGCCGAGAUCGCGUCCAGGCUCUAGAGACUUUGGAAUCAGCGCUUCCGUUUU
rnacentral:lncRNA from 1 species